rnacentral:rRNA from 1 species
UNCGUGCGCCCGUNAAGCUAUGUUGAGGGCGCNUCCNAACGGCUCCGUAACACGUAGUUAACCUACCCUCGGGAUGGGGAUAACCCCGGGAAACUGGGAUUAAUACCCACUAGAUGAUUAUACCUGGAGUGGCUUAUCAUCGAAAGAGUCUGGAAACAUGCUUCCAGCUUCGCCCGAGGAUGGGACUGCGUCCGAUCAGGUUGUUGGCGGGGUAACGGCCCACCAAGCCUAUAACCGGUACGGGCCCUGAGAGGGGGAGCCCGGAGAUGGAAACUGAGAAAAGGUUCCAGGCCCUACGGGGUGCAGCAGGCGCGAAACCUCCACAAUGCGCGAAAGCGUGAUGGGGUUAUCCCGAGUGCCGUCCGAUGAGGAUGGCUUUUCAUCGGUGUAAGGAUCCGAUGGAAUAAAGGGGGGGCAAGACUGGUGUCAGCCGCCGCGGUAAUACCAGCCCCCUGAGUGGUAGGGACGAUUAUUUGGCCUAAAGCGUCCGUAGCCGGCUUAUCAAGUCUUUUGUUAAUCCAGCGAUUCAAUCGUUGGGCCCAAAAGAUCUGGUUA